GACGAACGCUGGCGGCGUGCUUAACACAUGCAAGUCGAACGGAAAGGCCCUGCUUUUGUGGGGUGCUCGAGUGGCGAACGGGUGAGUAACACGUGAGUAACCUGCCCUUGACUUUGGGAUAACUUCAGGAAACUGGGGCUAAUACCGGAUAUGAGCUCCUGCUGCAUGGUGGGGGUUGGAAAGUUUCGGCGGUUGGGGAUGGACUCGCGGCUUAUCAGCUUGUUGGUGGGGUAGUGGCUUACCAAGGCUUUGACGGGUAGCCGGCCUGAGAGGGUGACCGGGCACAUUGGGACUGAGAUACGGCGCAGAAGCGUACGGGAGGCAGGAGUGGGGAAUAUUGCGGAAUGGGGGGAAGCCUGAUGCAGCAACGCCGGGUGCGGGAUGACGGCCUUCGGGUGGUAAACAGCUGUCGCCGGUGACGAAGCGUGAGUGACGGUAAUGGGUAAAGAAGCACCGGCUAACUACGUG
rnacentral:rRNA from 1 species